rnacentral:tRNA from 1 species
GCCCUUAUAGCUCAGUGGUAGAGCGCCUGAUUUGUAAUCAGUAGGUCGUAAGUUCAAUCCUUGCUGGGGGCU